GCUCCCCUGCCUGGUUGGUGAUUGACGGGUACAUUUCGAACCAAUAUUGUAAUGCAAGGGGGCCUUCCCUGUUUGUGGCCGGCACGUCCCCACGCGGGAAUACCGAAAGCAAUUAUAAAGGCGCCCACCUGUUUAACAGGUUCAAAUUGCCGUCAACACGGCUGUAGCGGGGGAGUA
rnacentral:other from 1 species